GAGUUUGAUCCUGGCUCAGAUUGAACGCUGGCGGCAUGCCUUACACAUGCAAGUCGAACGGUAACAGGUCUUUCGGGAUGCUGACGAGUGGCGAACGGGUGAGUGAUACAUCGGAACGUGCCUAGUAGUGGGGGAUAACUACUCGAAAGAGUGGCUAAUACCGCAUGAGAUCUAUGGAUGAAAGCAGGGGACCUUCGGGCCUUGUGCUACUAGAGCGGCCGAUGGCAGAUUAGGUAGUUGGUGGGAUAAAAGCUUACCAAGCCUACGAUCUGUAGCUGGUCUGAGAGGACGAUCAGCCACACUGGGACUGAGACACGGCCCAGACUCCUACGGGAGGCAGCAGUGGGGAAUUUUGGACAAUGGGCGCAAGCCUGAUCCAGCAAUGCCGCGUGCA
rnacentral:rRNA from 1 species